rnacentral:lncRNA from 1 species
UAUAGCCACCAAUUUCUACUGAGUAUUUAUCUACUAUAUGGCAGGUCAAGUCUGCAUUCUGGGAUAAAGUGUUGACACAAUCUUGAAUCAGUGCCUAAGGAGUUCACAAGUCCAGAGAGGGGAUAGCGUAUAGAGAAGAUAAAGCAGAUAUCCAUCCAAAGACUUGUAUGUGAAUGUUCAUAGCAACUUUAUUUGUAAUAGCCAAAACCUGAAAGAAACCCAAAUGAAUGUUAAGAAGCGAAUGGAUACAUAAAUUGUGGCAUAUGCAUACAAUGGGAUACCCAGCAAUAAAAAGGAAUGAACUAUUCAAAGAUAAGAAAGCUGAAGAAGAGUGAAAAUAAAGAAACUUCUACAAAGCCACACGUGUAAUUGACCCGUCAUUUGGAUGUCCCAAAACCACAGAAGCAAUAGAAGAAUGGAAAAAAUUAAUACAUUUUGUCAAUAAAAACUUUAUCUUCA